rnacentral:rRNA from 1 species
GAGUAGCUAAGUGCGGAAGAGAUAACCGCUGAAAGCAUCUAAGCGGGAAACUCGUCUCAAGAUGAGUCUUGCCGGGGCCUUGAGCCCCCUGAAGGGUCGUUCGAGACCAGGACGUUGAUAGGCUGGGUGUGGAAGCGCAGCAAUGCGUUAAGCUAACCAGUACUAAUUGCCCGUGAGGCUUGACCCU